UGAAUUAAAAAGCCCAUCAGAAGAGGAAUAAAUGAAACGGUGAGUUUCAGUCGUCUGGGACAGGUGUCGCGCGUACAGCAUUUGAAUUUGUGACCUGUCAGCUGAUGUGGAUAGCCUGGGAGGGAUACAAACCCUUCUUUAUAUAUAAAGAUACCUGAAUUGUGAUUCCAGUCUGUGGACUAAUCAAUGGUCUUAUUACUUUUAAAAGUAGAUCACCACAAAGCCUCUCCCAUGAUGAGACAUAA
rnacentral:lncRNA from 1 species